rnacentral:rRNA from 1 species
AUUGAACGCUGGCGGCAGGCCUAACACAUGCAAGUCGAGCGGAUGAGGGAAGCUUGCUUCCCGAUUUAGCGGCGGACGGGUGAGUAAUGCCUAGGAAUCUGCCUAUUAGUGGGGGAUAACGUUCCGAAAGGAACGCUAAUACCGCAUACGUCCUACGGGAGAAAGUGGGGGAUCUUCGGACCUUACGCUAAUAGAUGAGCCUAGGUCGGAUUAGCUAGUUGGUGAGGUAACGGCUCACCAAGGCGACGAUCCGUAGCUGGUCUGAGAGGAUGAUCAGCCACACUGGAACUGAGACACGGUCCAGACUCCUACGGGAGGCAGCAGUGGGGAAUAUUGGACAAUGGGCGAAAGCCUGAUCCAGCCAUGCCGCGUGUGUGAAGAAGGUCUUCGGAUUGUAAAGCACUUUAAGUUGGGAGGAAGAGUUGUAAGCUAAUAUUUUGCAGCUUUGACGUUACCAACAGAAUAAGCACCGGCUAACUCUGUGCCAGCCGCCGCCGUAACAC